CUACUUUCAGUUUAAGAAUCGAAGUCUUGUUUGGCAUAAGUAAAUUUAUAUGGCAGAAAUAUUUACACGGAACUAAAUUUGUCGAAGGAAAUGGACAUUUAAAAAUAAACGGAUUGCUUUAUUAUUAUUCUUAUUGUUUGUCCGAUGAAGACGACUUGGCAGCGCCAAGUUCAAAGCGGCCCCGGUGCGGAUACCUUCUAACGUCCCAUCCGGAACGGAUGCUGCAGAAUACGGAAAGCACUACACAAACUGAAGCCAAAUUUAAUAGCAGUGAAGAUCUAAGCAAGGCCAAGUUCAUCAGACAUCUGACAUCCCAGUGAAGACGUUAGCAAAUACCAGUGACUGCUGGUUGAGCAGUGUGGUACUACUGUCCGAGGACAGGCUCCUUCUGACAGAUGCAUGCAAUACAUCAGUGAAGCUGGUUAACACCCAAACCUACAUGGUUGUGUCAGAGGUGAAACUGUCAUGUCAGCCAUGGGGCGUGUGUCUCCUGCCUGGGGACAGGGCAGCUAUCACUAUGUCAUCUCUGUUUUCAAAGGGGAGGAUUCAGAUAUUAUCAACGCAAGAAAAACUGUCACUUCAGGACAUGAUCUACUUAGAUGGAGACCAUCAUGGAAUAGGUUUCUGUGAAGGCAACUUGAUAGUGUCCUUUGUCUCCAAGCUAAGGUUGUGAUGAUUGACAUGAAAGGAAACGUGAAAAAAAGUGUUGACAAAGACAGCAGUGGAAAACCUUUGUUUGUACGUCCCGGUUUUCUGACUGUGACCAGAGAAGGCCAGUCUCCGGUCAUAUAUGUUUCAGACUCGUCCACCCACACCAUCACCAAGCUGAACUCAUCACUACAGGUCAUUCAGACGUGGAAUAAGUUAGGGCUUAUUAGCCCACAGGGUCUAACGCCCGUGGUAGACAAUCAGAUACUCGUGUGUGGGGGGUACGAAAACAUCAUCGUGUUACUGGACAUGUCCAACAACAAGAUGACAAAAUUGUUAGGGAAGGUGGAUGGGAUAGAGGCGCCAUUUAGUGUAGCUUACCACCGACAACAGAAGAGGAUUUUUGUCACCAACUUCCAGUUAGGGUCAAAGUUUAACAAUUCCAUACAAGUUUAUAAUGUACUAUAAGUUGAAUUUAAUUAACUACCCAUUCCGUUGCAACAAAUGAUGAUUUGGAAGAACACUUUUAAGGCUAAAUUUUAGAAGUACUUAUACAUAUAAUUUAUUUUGCAUUGUUAUAUAAUUUCAUCAUAACGCAGUUUGUUCCAUUGAACAAUUUUCGAGAGAAACUUUAUGGUAAUUCUAUGUUGAUUCUUAACUCUUUUCGGAAGUCGUUCAAUAAUUAAUGAUAUGAGAUAAACAUUAAAUAUAUUUGUAUUAUCAAUAUAAAUAUGAGUAGAUGGUGUAUCAGAUAUACAGGCAAGUUUGUAAAUUUCAAACGAGAGCAUAAGAUGUGGUAAUUGUAUGCUAGUGGAAUGAGUUUAUUAUGUUUAAAGUAUAAAGCUUAUUUUGUAAGACAAUGGAGAGAUACCUUGUUUAAUGAUAUGGUAUCAUAUUAACGUUUGAUAGUUUUAACAGCUUUUAUAUUUCGAAACUGUGAUCAUACUGUGAUCUGUAAAUACUUUGUUUGUAUACAUUAUAAUAUUUUGGUUGUGACUGUUUUCUAUGUAAGAAACUUUGAGCUGUGUUGGCUUAUUCCGUGAAAAACAUAUAUUGACUGACAUAAAUGCAUUCGAGCUCUAGCUAUAACACACACUGUAGACUUUUAUCAAUCAUGGCUUACUUACACCUUUAUAAACAAACAUUCAUGCACUUGGUGCAACACACUCUGUAGAGGUGUUACUUUGUAUCACAAUUAACUAACUUACACCUAUAUAUACAAACACUCGGGAAUUAGCUACAACACCCACUAUACAGUUGUGACUUCUAUCACAGACGACAAACUUACAACUAUAUAAACAGACAGACAGAAUUGUUUAUUGUCGUAAACAUGUAAAUAACAGUUUCUUGACAAAACAUGAUGUCAAAUAAAAAUUAUUAUGGUCACAAUGAUACAUGGCAAAAAAAGAAGAAAAAAAACACACACAGAUAAAACAUAAUAUUGAUUAUUAUUUUUAUACAAAUGGUAAAUAUCUUAAAGCUUAAUAUAUGCAAUACCAGAAAAAUAGGGAUUUGGGAGGCUAAUAUCAUAUAUUUCUUUAUAGACUAGAUCAUAUUAUUGUUCACAUAAUUUCUUAAAAGAAAUGCUUGGUUCAUAAAUUUUCUUAGAUUUCUUAUUUCGACUAUAUUUUGCGAUUUCAUUAAUUCUACAAAUGUGUACAUACUUGGGUUUCUAACAUAGAUUGUUUUUAUCAACUCCUUUCUGAUAUUGUUAUACACAGGGCAUAUUAUGACAAAGUUAUUUAACAUCACAUACUGUAGAGAUGUUUAUUGUAUCACAAAUAACUUUCUAACACCUACAUAUAGCAGCAUUCGUGCACUAGGUACCAGUCAAACUGUAUGUUUUUGCAAUUUAUCGCAUAUGAACAACUUACACCUUCAUAUAAACUAUUGUUGCACUACCAACAACAAAGAUUUAGUUGUUGAUUGUUAUUAUAUUUGAAUCAUAUUACAGCAGAUAAAAAACGUUA